UACAGAGGGGGCCAGCGUUAUUCGGAAUUACUGGGCGUAAAGCGUGCGCAGGCGGCUAUGCAAGACAGAUGUGAAAUCCCCGGGCUCAACCUGGGAACUGCAUUUGUGACUGCAUGGCUAGAGUACGGUAGAGGGGGAUGGAAUUCCGCGUGUAGCAGUGAAAUGCGUAGAUAUGCGGAGGAACACCGAUGGCGAAGGCAAUCCCCUGGACCUGUACUGACGCUCAUGCACGAAAGCGUGGGGAGCAAACAGG
rnacentral:rRNA from 1 species